rnacentral:rRNA from 1 species
UGGGGAAUUUUGGACAAUGGGGGCAACCCUGAUCCAGCAAUGCCGCGUGUGUGAAGAAGGCCUUCGGGUUGUAAAGCACUUUUGUCCGGAAAGAAAACGUCGUGGUUAAUACCCGUGGCGGCUGACGGUACCGGAAGAAUAAGCACCGGCUAACUACGUGCCAGCAGCCGCGGUAAUACGUAGGGUGCAAGCGUUAAUCGGAAUUACUGGGCGUAAAGCGUGCGCAGGCGGUCCGCUAAGACAGAUGUGAAAUCCCCGGGCUUAACCUGGGAACUGCAUUUGUGACUGGCGGGCUAGAGUAUGGCAGAGGGGGGUAGAAUUCCACGUGUAGCAGUGAAAUGCGUAGAGAUGUGGAGGAAUACCGAUGGCGAAGGCAGCCCCCUGGGCCAAUACUGACGCUCAUGCACGAAAGCGUGGGGGAGCAAAACAGGAUUCAGAUACCCUGGUAGUCCACGCCCUAAACGAUGUCAACUAGUUGUCGGGUCUUCAUUGACUUGGUAACGUAGCUAACGCGUGAAGUUGACCGCCUGGGGAGUACGGUCGCAAGAUUAAAACUCAAAUG